GGGGCUGGCCAACUUCGUCCGCCGGACUCGGAAUUCCACGAGACUUUGCGAGCGGCCUCCGUGUGCCAAGAAUAGGCCGCGGCUAAAGCCGCGCCCAAAAAUAACCGCCCGAAGGCCGGGGCGCCAAGUUCGUCAAGCGGAAAAAGACCACAAAAACGGGUGGGCUAUAGCCUUGGGGGGUGGGGCUGGCCAACUUCGUCCGCCGGACUCGGAAUGCCGCGAAACUUUGCGAGGGGCCUCCGUGUGCCAAAAAUAGGACGUGAGUAAAGCCGCGCCCAAAAAUAACCGCCUGAAGGCCGGGGCGCCAAGUUCGUCCAGCUGAAAAAGGCCACAAAAACAGGUGGGCUAUAGCCUUGGGGGGUGGGUUGGCCCACUUCGUCCGCCGGACUCGGAAUGCCGCGACACUUUGGGAGGGGCCUCCGUGUGCGAAAAAUAGGCCGCGGGCAAAGCCGCGCCGAAAAAUAACCACCCGAAGGCCGGGGCGCAAAGUUCGUCCAGCGGAAAAAAGGCCACAAAAACGGGUGGGCUAUAUAGCCUUGGGGGGUGGGGCUGGCCAACUUCGUCCGCCGGACUCGGAAUGCCGCGAGACUUUACGAGGGGCCUCCGUGUGCCAAAAAUAGGCCGUGAGUAAAGCCGCGCCCAAAAAUAACCGCCCGAAGGCCGGGGCGCCAAGUUCGUCCAGCUGAAAAAGGCCACAAAAACAGGUGGGCUAUAGCCUUGGGUGGUGGGGUUGGCCCACUUCGUCCGCCGGACUCGGAAUGCCGCGAGACUUUGCGAGGGGCCUUCGUGUGCGAAAAAUAGGCCGCGGGCAAAGCCGCGCCGAAAAAUAACCACCCGAAGGCCGGGGCGCAAAGUUCGUCCAGCGGAAAAAGGCCACAAAAACGGGUGGGCUAUAUAGCCUUGGGGGGUGGGGCUGGCCCACUUCGUCCGCCGGACUGGGAAUGCCGCGAGACCCUGCGAGGGGCCUCCGUGUCUGAAAAAUAGGCCGCGGGCAAAGCCGCACCCAAAAAUAACCGCCCGAAGGCCGGGGCGCCAAGUUCGUCCAGCGGAAAAAGGCCACAAAAACGGGUGGGCUAUAGCCUUGGGGGGUCGGGCUGGCCAACUUCGUCCGCCGGACUCGGAAUUCCACGAGACUUUGCGAGCGGCCUCCGUGUGCCAAGAAUAGGCCGCGGCUAAAGCCGCGCCCAAAAAUAACCGCCCGAAGGCCGGGGCGCCAAGUUCGUCAAGCGGAAAAAGACCACAAAAACGGGUGGGCUAUAGCCUUGGGGGGUGGGGCUGGCCAACUUCGUCCGCCGGACUCGGAAUGCCGCGAAACUUUGCGAGGGGCCUCCGUGUGCCAAAAAUAGGCCGUGAGUAAAGCCGCGCCCAAAAAUAACCGCCUGAAGGCCGGGGCGCCAAGUUCGUCCAGCUGAAAAAGGCCACAAAAACAGGUGGGCUAUAGCCUUGGGGGGUGGGUUGGCCCACUUCGUCCGCCGGACUCGGAAUGCCGCGACACUUUGGGAGGGGCCUCCGUGUGCGAAAAAUAGGCCGCGGGCAAAGCCGCGCCGAAAAAUAACCACCCGAAGGCCGGGGCGCAAAGUUCGUCCAGCGGAAAAAGGCCACAAAAACGGGUGGGCUAUAUAGCCUUGGAGGGUGGGGCUGGCCAACUUCGUCCGCCGGACUCGGAAUGCCGCGAGACUUUACGAGGGGCCUCCGUGUGCCAAAAAUAGGCCGUGAGUAAAGCCGCGCCCAAAAAUAACCGCCCGAAGGCCGGGGCGCCAAGUUCGUCCAGCUGAAAAAGGCCACAAAAACAGGUGGGCUAUAGCCUUGGGUGGUGGGGUUGGCCCACUUUGUCCGCCGGACUCGGAAUGCCGCGAGACUUUGCGAGGGGCCUUCGUGUGCGAAAAAUAGGCCGCGGGCAAAGCCGCGCCGAAAAAUAACCACCCGAAGGCCGGGGCGCCAAGUUCGUCCAGCAGAAAAUGGCCACAAAAACGGGUGGGCUAUACCCUUGGGGGGUGGGGCUGGCCAACUUCGUACGCCGGAAACGGAAUGCUGCGAGACUUUGCGAGGGGCCUCCGUGUGCCAAAAAUAGGCAGCGGGCUAAGCCGCACCCAAAAAUAACUGCCCGAAGGCGGGGGUGCCAAGUUCGUCCAGCGGAAAAAGACCACAAAAACGGGUGGGCUAUACCCUUGGGGGGUGGGGCUGGCCCACUUCGUCCGCCGGACUCGGAAUGCCGCGAGACUUUGCGAGCGGCCUCCGUGUGCCAAAAAUAGGUCGCGGGCAAAGCCGUACCCAAAAAUAACCGCCCGAAGGCCCGGGCGCCAAGUUCGUCCAGCGGAAAAUGGCCACAAAAACGGGUGGGCUAUAGACUUGGGGGGUGGGGCUGGCCAACUUCGUCCGCCGGACUCGGAAUGCCGCGAGACUUUGCGAGGGUCCUCUGUGUGCCAAAAAUAGGCCGCGGGCAAAGCCGCACCCAAAACUAACCGCCCGAAGGCCGGGGCACCAAGUUCGUCCAGCGGAAAAUGGCCACAAAAACGGGUGGACUAUAGCCUUGGGGGGUGCGGCUGGCCAACUUCGUCCGCCGGACUCGGAGUGCCGCGAGACUUUGCGAGGGGCCUCCGUGUGGCAAAAAUAGGCCGCGGGUAAAGCCGCGCCCAAAAAUAACCGCCCGAAGGCCGGGGCGCCAAGUUCGACCAGCGGAAAAAGGCCACAAAAAAGGGUGGGCUAUUGCCUUGGGGGGUGGGGCCGGCCCACGUCGUCCGCCGGACUCGGAAUGGCGCGACACUUUCCGAGGUGCCUCCGUGUGCCAAAAAUAGGCCGCGGGCAGAGCUGCGCCCAAAAAUAACCGACCGAAGGCCGGGGCGCCAAGUUCGUCCAGCGGAAAAAGGCCAGAAAAACGGGUGGGCUAUAGCCUUGGGGGGUGCGGCUGGCCAACUUCGUCCGCCGGACUCGGAAUGGCGCGAGACAUUGCGAGCGGCCUCCGUGCACCAAGAAUAGGCCGCGGGCACAGACGCGCCCAAAAAUAACCGCCCGAAGGCCGGGGCGCCAAGUUCGACCAGCGGAAAAAGGCCACAAAAAAGGGUGGGCUAUUGCCUUGGGAGGUGGCGCCGGCCAACGUCGUCCGCCGGACUCGGAAUGGCGCGACACUUUCCGAGGCACCUCCGUGUGUCAAAAAUAGGCCGUGGGCAGAGCCGCGCCCAAAAAUAACCGCCCGAAGGCCGGGGCGCCAAGUUCGUCAAGCGGAAAAAGGCCACAAAAACGGGUGGGCUAUAGCCUUGGGGGGUGGGGCUGGCCCACUUCGUCCGCCGGACUCGGAAUGCCGCGAGACUUUGCGAGGGCCCUCCGUGUGCGAAAAAUAGGCCGUGGUCAAAGCCGCGCCGAAAAAUAACCACCCAAAGGCCGGGGCGCCAAGUUCGUCCAGCGGAAAAAGGCCACAAAAACGGGUGGGUUAUAGCCUUGGGUUGUGGGGCUGGCAAACUUCGUCCGCCGGACUCGGAAUGCCGCGAGACUUUGCGAGGGGCCUCCGUGUGCCAAAAAUAGGCCGCGGGCAAAGCCGCGCCCGAAAAUAACCGCCCGAAGGCCGGGGCGCCAAGUUCGUCCAGCGGAAAAAGGCCACAAAAACGGGUGGGCUAUAGCCUUGGGGGGUGGGGCUGGCCAACUUCGUCCGCCGGACUCGGAAUGCCGCGAGACUUUUCGAGGGGCCUCCGUGUGCCAAAAAUAGGCCGAGGGCAAAGCCGCGCCCGAAAAUAACCGGCCGAAGGCCGGGGCGCCAAGUUCGUCCAGCGGAAAAAGGCCACAAAAACGGGUGGGCUAUAGCCUUGGGGAGUGGGGCUGGCCAACUUCGUCCCCCGGACUCGGAAUGCCGCGAGACUUUGAGAGGGGCCUCCAUGUGACAAAAAUCGGCCGCGGGUAAAGCCGCGCCCAAAAAUAACCGCCCGAAGGCCGGGGCGCCAAGUUCGUCCUGCUGAAAAAGGCCACAAAAACAGGUGGGCUAUAGCCUUGGGGGGCGGGGUUGGCCCACUUCGUCCGCCGGACUCGGAAUGCCGCGAGACUUUGCGAGGGGCCUCCGUGUGCCAAAAAUAGGCCGCGGGCAAAGCCGCACCGAAAAAUAACCACCCGAAGGCCGGGGCGCCAAGUUCGUCCAGCGGAAAAUGGCCACAAAAACGGGUGGGCUAUACCCUUGGGGGGUGGGGCUGGCCAACUUCGUCUGCCGGACUCAGAAUGCCAUGAGACUUUCCGAGGGGCCUCCGUGUGCCAAAAAUAGGCCACGGGCUAAGCCGCGCCCAAAAAUAACUGCCCGAAGGCCGGGGCGCCAUGUUCGUCCAGCGGAAAAAGGCCACAAAAACGGGUGGGCUAUAGCCUUGGGUGGUGGGGCUGGCCAACUUCGUCCGCCGGACUCGGAAUGCCGCGAGACUUUGCGAGGGGCCUCCGUGUGCCAAAAAUAGGCCGUGAGUAAAGCCGCGCCCAAAAAUAACCGCCCGAAGGCCGGGGCGCCAAGUUCGUCCAGCUGAAAAACGCCACAAAAGCAGGUGGGCUAUAGCCUUGGGGGGUGGGUUUGGCCCACUUCGUCCGCCGGACUCGGAAUGCCGCGAGACUUUGUGAGGGGCCUCCGUGUGCGAAAAAUAGGCCGCGGGCAAAGCCGCGCCGAAAAAUAACCACCCGAAGGCCGGGGCGCCAAGUUCGUCCAGCGGAAAAAGGCCACAAAAACGGGUGGGCUAUAUAGCCUUGGGGGGUGGGGCUGGCCAACUUCGUCCGCCGGACUCGGAAUGCCGCGAGACUUUGCGAGGGGCCUCCGUGUGCCAAAAAUAGGCCGUGAGUAAAGCCGCGCCCAAAAAAACCGCCCGAAGGCCGGGGCGCCAAGUUCGUCCAGCUGAAAAGGCUACAAAAACAGGUGGGCUAUAGCCUUGGGUGGUGGGGUUGGCCCACUUCCUCCGCCGGACUCGGAAUGCCGCGAGACUUUGCGAGGGGCCUCCGUGUGCGAAAAAUAGGCCGCGGGCAAAGCCGCGCCGAAAAAUAACCACCUGAAGGCCGGGGCGCCAAGUUCGUCCUGCGGAAAAUGGCCACAAAAACGGGUGGGCUAUACCCUUGGGGGGUGGGGCUGGCCAACUUCGUACGCCGGACACGGAAUGCUGCGAGACUUUGCGAGGGGCCUCCGUGUGCCAAAAAUAGGCAGCGGGCUAAGCCGCACCCAAAAAUAACUGCCCGAAGGCGGGGGUGCCAAGUUCGUCCAGCGGAAAAAGGCCACAAAAACGGGUGGGCUAUACCCUUGGGGGGUGGGGCUGGCCCACUUCGUUCGCCGGACUCGGAAUGCCGCGAGACUUUGCGAGGGUCCUCCGUGUGCCAAAAAUAGGCCGCGGGCAAAGCCGCACCCAAAAAUAACAACCCGAAGGCCGGGGCGCCAAGUUCGUCCAGCGGAAAAUGGCCACAAAAACGGGUGGGCUAUAGCCUUGGGGGGUGGGGUUGGCCCACUUCGUCCGCCGGACUCGGAAUGCCGCGAGACUUUGCGAGGGGCCUCCGUGUGCGAAAAAUAGGCCGCGGUCAAAGCCGCGCUGAAAAAUAACCACCCGAAGGCCGGGGCGCCAACUUCCUCCAGCGGAAAAUGGCCACAAAAACGGGUGGGCUAUACCCUUGGGGGGUGGGGUUGGCCAACUUCGUCCGCCGGACUCAGAAUGCCAUGAGACUUUCCGAGGGGCCUCCGUGUGCCAAAAAUAGGCCGCGGGCUAAGCCGCGCCCAAAAAUAACUGCCCGAAGGCCGGGGCGCCAUGUUCGUCCAGCGGAAAAAGGACAGAAAAACGGGUGGGCUAUNNNNNNNNNNNNNNNNNNNNNNNNNNNNNNNNNNNNNNNNNNNNNNNNNNNNNNNNNNNNNNNNNNNNNNNNNNNNNNNNNNNNNNNNNNNNNNNNNNNNNNNNNNNNNNNNNNNNNNNNNNNNNNNNNNNNNNNNNNNNNNNNNNNNNNNNNNNNNNNNNNNNNNNNNNNNNNNGGCUAUAGCCUUGGGGGGUGGGGUUGGCCCACUUCGUCCGCCGGACUCGGAAUGCCGCGAGACUUUGCGAGGGGCCUCCGUGUGCGAAAAAUAGGCCGCGGUCAAAGCCGCGCUGAAAAAUAACCACCCGAAGGCCGGGGCGCCAACUUCCUCCAGCGGAAAAUGGCCACAAAAACGGGUGGGCUAUACCCUUGGGGGGUGGGGUUGGCCAACUUCGUCCGCCGGACUCAGAAUGCCAUGAGACUUUCCGAGGGGCCUCCGUGUGCCAAAAAUAGGCCGCGGGCUAAGCCGCGCCCAAAAAUAACUGCCCGAAGGCCGGGGCGCCAUGUUCGUCCAGCGGAAAAAGGCCAGAAAAACGGGUGGGCUAUAUAGCCUUGGGGGGUGGGGCUGGCCAACUUCGUCCGCCGGACUCGGAAUGCCGCGAGACUUUACGAGGGGCCUCUGUGUGCCAAAAAUAGGCCGUGAGUAAAGCCGCGCCCAAAAAUAACUGCCCGAAGGCCGGGGCGCCAAGUUCGUCCAGCUGAAAAAGGCCACAAAAACGGGUGGGCUAUAGCCUUCGGGGGUGGGGCUGGCCAACUUCGUCCGCCGGACUUGGAAUGCCGCGAGACUUUGCGAGGGGCCUCCGUGUGCCAAAAAUACGCCGCGGGCAAAGCCACUCCCAAAAAUAACCGCCCGAAGGCCGGGGCGCCAAGUUCGUCCAGCGGAAAAAGGCCACAAAAAAAGGGUGGGCUUAUACCUUGAGGGGUGCGGCUGGCCAACUUCGUCCGCCGGACUCGGAAUGCCGCGAGACUUUGCGAGGGGCCUUCGUGUGCCAAAAAUAGGCCGCGGGUAAAGCCGCGCCCAAAAAUAACCGCCCGAAGGCCGGGGCGCCAAGUUCGUCCAGCUGAAAAAGGCCACAAAAACAGGUGGACUAUAGCCUUGGGGGGUGGGGUUGGCCCACUUCGUCCGCCGGACUCGGAAUGCCGCGAGACUUUGCGAGGGGCCUCCGUGUGCGAAAAAUAGGCCGCGGGCAAAGCUGCGCCGAAAAAUAACCACCCGAAGGCCGGGGCGCCAAGUUCGUCCAGCGGAAAAUGGCCACAAAAACGGGUGGGCUAUACCCUUGGGGGGUGGGGCUAGCCAACUUCGUCCGCCGGACUCAGAAUGCCAUGAGACUUUCCGAGGGGCCUCCGUGUGCCAAAAAUAGGCCGCGGGCUAAGCCGCUCCCAAAAAUAACUGCCCGAAGGCCGGGGCGCCAUGUUCGUCCAGCGGAAAAAGGCCACAAAAACGGGUGGGCUAUAGCCUUGGGUGGUGGGGCUGGCCAACUUCGUCCGCCGGACUCGGAAUGCCGCGAGACUUUGCGAGGGGCCUCCGUGUGCCAAAAAUAGGCCGUGAGUAAAGCCACACCCAAAAAUAACUGCCCGAAGGCCGGGGCGCCAAGUUCGUCCAGCUGAAAAAGGCCACAAAAACAGGUGGGCUAUAGCCUUGGGGGGGGGGGGGUUGGCCCACUUCGUCUGCCGGACUCGGAAUGCCGCGAGACUUUGUGAGGGGCCUCCGUGUGCGAAAAAUAGGCCGCGGGCAAAGCCGCGCCGAAAAAAAACCACCCGAAGGCCGGGGCGCCAAGUUCGUCCAGCGGAAAAAGGCCACAAAAACGGGUGGGCUAUAGCCUUGGGGGGUGGGGCUGGCCAACUUCGUCCGCCGGACUCGGAAUGCCGCGAGACUUUGCAAGGGGCCUCCGUGUGCCAAAAAUAGGCCGCGGGCAAAGCCGCUAUCGAAAAUAACAGCCCGAAGGCCGGGGCGCCAAGUUCGUCCAGCGGAAAAAGGCCACAAAAAAGGGUGGGCUAUAGCCUUGGGGGGUGGGGCUGGCCAACUUCGUCCGCCGGACUCGGAAUGCCGCGAGACUUUGCGAGGGGCCUCCGUGUGCCAAAAAUAGGCCGUGAGUAAAGCCGCGCCCAAAAAUAACCACCCGAAGGCCGGGGCGCCAAAUUCGUCCAGCUGAAAAAGGCCACAAAAACAGGUGGGCUAUAGCCUUGGGUGGUGGGGUUGGCCCACUUCGUCCGCCGGACUCGGAAUGCCGCGAGAGUUUGCGAGGGGCCUCCGUGUGCGAAAAAUAGGCCACGGGCAAAGCCACGCCGAAAAAUAACCACCCGAAGGCCGGGGCGCCAAGUUCGUCCAGCGGAAAAUGGCCACAAAAACGGGUGGGCUAUACCCUUGGGGGGUGGGGCUGGCCAACUUCGUACGCCGGACACGGAAUGCUGCGAGAUUUUGUGAGGGGCCUCCGUGUGUCAAAAAUAGGCAGCGGGCUAAGCCGCACCCAAAAAUAACUGCCCGAAGGCGGGGGUAGCAAGUUCGUCCAACGGAAAAAGGCCACAAAAACGGGUGGGCUAUACCCUUGGGGGGUGGGGCUGGCCCACUUCGUCCGCCGGACUCGGAAUGCCGCGAGACUUUGCGAGGGUCCUCCGUGUGCCAAAAAUAGGCCGCGGGCAAAGCCGCACCCAAAAAUAACCACCCGAAGGCCGGGGCGCCAAGUUCGUCCAGCGGAAAAUGGCCACAAAAACGGGUGGGCUAUAGCCUUGGGGGGUGGGGCUGGCCAACUUCGUCCGCCGGACUCGGAAUGCCGCGAGACUUUGCGAGGGGCCUCCGUGUGCCAAAAAUAGGCCGCGGGCAAAGCCGCUCCCGAAAAUAACCGCCCGAAGGCCGGGGCGCGAAGUUCGUCCAGCGGAAAAAGGCCACAAAAAAGGGUGGGCUAUAGCCUUGGGGGGUGGGGCUGGCCAACUUCGUCCGCCGGACUCGGAAUGCCGCGAGACUUUGCGAGGGGCCUCCGUGUGCCAAAAAUAGGCCGCGGGUAAACCCGCGCCAAAUAAAUAACCGCCCGAAGGCCGGGGCGCCAAGUUCGUCCAGCUGAAAAAGGCCACAAAAACAGGUGGGCUAUAGCCUUGGGGGGUGGGGUUGGCCCACUUCGUCCGCCGGACUCGGAAUGCCGCGAGACUUUGCGAGGGGCCUCCGUGUGCGAAAAAUAGGCCGCGGGCAAAGCCGCGCCGAAAAAUAAUCACCCGAAGGCCGGGGCGCCAAGUUUGUCCUGCGGAAAAUGGCCACAAAAACGGGUGGGCUAUACCCUUGGGGGG
rnacentral:lncRNA from 1 species